GACGAACGCUGGCGGCGUGCUUAACACAUGCCAGUCGAACGGUGAAGCGCCUUCCUUUUUGGUGGGUGUGGAUGAGUGGCGAACGGGUGAGUAACACGUGAGUAACCUGCCCCCUUCUUCUGGAUAACCGCAUGAAAGUGUGGCUAAUACGGGAUAUUCUGGGUCUGUCGCAUGAUGGGUCUGGGAAAGAUAUUGUUUCGGUGGGGGAUGGGCUCGCGGCCUAUCAGCUUGUUGGUGGGGUGAUGGCCUACCAAGGCGGUGACGGGUAGCCGGCCUGAGAGGGUGGACGGUCACACUGGGAGUGAGACACGGCCCAGACUCGUACGGGAGGAAGCAGUGGGGAAUAUUGCAAAAUGGGAGCAAGGAUGAUGCAGCGACGCCGCGAGAGGGAUGGAGGCCUUCGGGUUGUGAACCUCUUUCGCCAGUGAAGCAGGCCUGCCUCGUUUGUGGGUGGGUUGACGGUAGCUGGAUAAGAAGCGCCGGCUAACUACGUG
rnacentral:rRNA from 1 species